GAUGUAGGUGGCUUUGUAAGUCAGGUGUGAAAGCCCCGGGCUCAACCCGGGAAGUGCAUUUGAUACUGCGAAGCUUGAGUGCUAGAGAGGUUACUAGAAUACCUGGUGUAGUGGUGAAAUACGUAGAUAUCAGGUGGAAUACCGGAGGCGAAGGCGGGUAACCAGCUAGACACUGACACUCAGAUCCGAAAGUGUGGGGAUCAAACA
rnacentral:rRNA from 1 species